rnacentral:lncRNA from 1 species
AUGCUGUCCUGUGGCUGUGGCGCCCCAACAACUGUAGCUCCGAUUCAACCCUUAGCCUGGGAACUUCCAUAUGCUGCAAGUACAGCCCUAAAGAGGAAAAAAAAAAGAAGAAGAAGAAGAACCCUCUAUGACUCUCCAGGAUUCCCAGGACAGGGUCCCAGCUCCAUCUCUAGCACAGAAAUUUCUUUCCUGAGGCUGGAAAGAAAUCACAGCUCCCUGAACACCGCCCACCUGUAUACGCCCCCACCUUCCCUCACCUCCUUCUCUGGGCCUUGCUUCCUCUCCUUUGCUUGUAAUGAAGAGCUCAGGAAGGAUCUGAAGCAGGUGAGAAACGAAGCUAUUGAAAGAAAGUCGGUUUCUUCUAGAAUUCUCUCCCGCCUCCCACCUAAGUUCCCUCCAGCUCGAUGGCUGCGUUCUUGGGUUUCCACUGCCGUUACUUCAUCACAGCUUUCUUGGAGUAUCCGAGUGAAGCCCAACUGUACCAGUCGCCACCGCCCAAGGGGCCCCAGACGACGGCGCUAGUGAGGCGCAGCCGGUGCACCGCGGGUUUGGUGUGCCUGCCCUGCGAUGCAGAGUUGCGGGGCUAGAGGCGGGCAGCGGGCGGCGAGCUGGGUCUAGAGGACUCGCGGCCAGGGAGGGAGAGUGGCCAACGUGGGUGUACGCGCCUCUCCAGCCAUCGCGCUGGCUCUUCCGCGCCGCCUGCUGGUACUCGCUACGUGGUGGUGACGCCGUCGCUGCAGCCCCUUGACCAGCCCAAGGAGUUUGCAGUGGUGGCCGGAGCUCGGUCCACGCACCUGCGCCUCAGUCCUCCGCUGUGGGUCCUGCUGGACCGUGUCGAGCACACUGUCCACGGGCCUCUCCUCCUACACCUUGAGCCUUUCCAGGUACUGCGGGUGCAGAGCUCCGGAGACCCGGUGGGCACCUACGUCGUGACCACUCAUCCCAUCGCGCUGCUGACUGGGCACAAUUGUCAGCAAUCGAGAGACAAGGCUUGUGGCUACGUGUCCAAACAACUGCUGUC